GUCUGGGAGGAUUGACAGACAGAGAGCUCUUUCUUGAUUCGGUGGAUGGUGGUGCAUGUCCGUUCUUAGUUGCUGGAGCGAUUUGUCUAGUUAAUUCCGAUAACGAACGAGACUCUAGCCUAUUAAAUCGGUGCGCGGUUCUCUGCACUUUGCACCCUUCUUAGAGGGACAAGCGGCUCCUAGCCGCAAGAGAAAGAGCAAUAACAGGUCUGUGAUGCCCUUAGAU
rnacentral:rRNA from 1 species